rnacentral:rRNA from 1 species
CCGCUUGGCGGCGGCUUACAUUACAAGUCGAACGAUGUCCAUCCGAUCUUCGGAUUGGUGAAGACUAGACGGGCUCGUAACACGUGAGAAACUGCCCCGGUCUCUGGGAUAACAGUUGGAAACGACUGCUAAUACCGGAUCCGUCGGACCGUCGCAUUGCGGACCGACGAAAGGGUUACCGGAUCGGGAGGGUCUCGCGGCCUAUCAGCUUGUUGGUGAGGUAACGGCUCACCAAGGCAUGACGGGUACUGGUCUGAGAGGAUGAUCGCCACACUGGCACUGAGACGCGGCCAGACUCCUAGUGGAUGCAGCUGUGGGGAAUAUCGCACAAUGGGCGA